CAACCUCUGGCGAAAACCGUGAAUGUUG
rfam:Flavobacterium terrae strain DSM 18829 genome assembly, contig: Ga0131135_105